rfam:Pantoea sp. PSNIH2, complete genome.
AUUCUUCCCGCAUGUGUCGCUGACGGUCGUCAGCACCAUGCCCUGGCAGCCCCGGUCCUCAAGGCUGCAACGCGGUUCGCCGCGUUGACCGAUCCAGUCCGCUUCGCACCGACCACCGCGGACGCGCGUCGCCACGACGCGGGUGC